rnacentral:lncRNA from 1 species
UCAGCUUUCUGAUGCCUUUCAUCGAACAGUUGAUGCAUCUUCAAACAACAAAACAGCACAAAAAUAAAUAGCAUCAAGGGAAUCAAGGUAAAAUAAAGCAUCAGUGUUGUUCAUACAGGAAACAAGAGUUGAAUUUCGCCUCACAAACAGGUUGUUAAAACCAAUUUUUGUCAAUCGUUUUGUACCUGGUGGUGCGGUAGUGGUUCGACGGCAGUAGCGAUUUUACCGGAAACAGACCUAUAUCGAAGGGAUGUUUGUGAGCAGUUAUUUUGAGGAGGUUUGGAGGGGAGAAUCAAUUUAGGGGGUGUUUGGGAUUGCUUAUUUUAGGUAAGGUAUAACUUUCUGUAUUAAUUUUUGAAAAGUUAAAUGGUGUUUGGGAUUGAAAGUGUAUGGUAGGGAAAAGUCAGUAAGUCACUUUAUUGUGACUUGUUAACUUUUACAAAAAGUCAUAAGAAGUUUGGAAAAGUUAAGCCAAACACCCCGUUAGAUUUAAAAUUAGGUUGGGGAUACGGAUAAAAUUAGAAGGGAACCGUAAAAAAUGAGUAUCGGUAUCAGUGCUGAAAGUCAUCAGUAUGGUAUGGUACGAUAUUGAAGGCAAAUCAAGCCAAAAUACCGAUACCGUAUUGAACCGAAAGUGCCGAUCCCAAAAAUCUCAAAAGUGGGUAUAAAAUUGAUACGGAAAAUGCCUUGGUAUGACAUGGUUCAGUGAUGGUACUGGUUAUCCCUAGGUUGAAUUGGGAGAGGAAAAUUAAAAUCAAACUUAGAUUUUUUAAAAUAAUUUAACAAAUAUACAAAAGAAGAAACAAUUAUUUAAAAAUAAAAUUUCUUUUUUACUUUCUAAAGAAUUAGAAAGACAAUAAAUACUCAUUUGAAAAACUAGUUCUUGGUAUGAAUCAUUUAUAUCCAUAAAUCCUUUAAUGAACUAUUGAGUUGAUCAAGUUUGACUUUAUUUGAUUAAAAUCAUGUGUUAGGUUUAUGAAUUAUGUUCAUGAUUGAUAAGUUUGAGUCUGGUUGAUCAAUAUAAUUUGUAAUGAGUUAUAAUGAGUAAUAUAUGUCUUAAUACAACCAUUUAAUUAAUGUUAAGAGUUAUCAUAGCUCUUAAUGAAGUUGUAAUGGGUAAUGUUUGGUCUAAAGAGUUAUUAUAUCUCAUUCAUGGGACAGUAGGGUCUUAGCAGGUCAUAUUAGUUCUUAAAUAGUUAGAUUAGUUUGUAAUGAGUCAUUUAUGUCUUGAUGUGUCAUUAGGGCCGGUCCGUUAGGCUUAUCAACCUAGGCUAAGUCCUAAGGCCAUCCAAAACAAGGGCCUCCAAAUUUUAUUUUAUUUACAUAAAUUUUAAUUUAUCCACAUUGUCUUUGCACGCUUCAACACACCAAACCUCGUUACUUGCGACGCCUUUUAAAUAACUAAUGUGAAACUGAUUGCGGAUUGGACGAAAUUAGGCAGAAAUUGAGAAAAAUCAUCGCUAUGGGCCCUGACUUUGUAGUUCGCUUAGUGCCUUCAAAAACAUUGGAACGGCCUUGUGUGUCAUAUAGGGUAUAAAGAGUCAUGACAAUUAUUUAAUGGCUCUUGAUAAACCUUAAUAUAUCGUAUUAGGCAUGAAGAGGCAUCACAGCUCUUGAUCAGUGGCGGAUCUAAAAGAAAAAUUUAGGGGUAUCCCAAAUUUUGUUUAUCAUACAUUCAUAUAAUAUAAAUGAAAAAAACACGAUAAUAAAUAGGGCCAUCUCUAAGAAACCUCAAAAUUUCAAGGGACCUAUGCGACUAUAAAAAAUAGACCCCCAAAAUAUAAACUUAUAUGCAAAAAGAAAAAAAAAUAGGAC